CAGAGGGUAGUUUAAGUAGAAUA
rnacentral:tRNA from 1 species